AAUGAACGCUGGCGGCGUGCCUAACACAUGCAAGUCGUGCGCGAACGGGACUUCGGUCCUUAGUAGAGCGGCGAACGGGUGAGUAACACGUGGGUAACCUGCCUGGGAGUGGGGGAUAACCUGGGGAAACUCGGGCUAAUACCGCAUACGUUCCCGGGGCUUCGGCUCCGGGAGGAAAGAUGGCCUCUGCUUGCACGCUAUCUCUCCCAGAGGGGCCCGCGGCUGAUUAGCUAGUUGGUGGGGUAACGGCCCACCAAGGCGACGAUCAGUAGCCGGCCUGAGAGGGUGAUCGGCCACACUGGAACUGAGACACGGUCCAGACUCCUACGGGAGGCAGCAGUGGGGAAUAUUGGGCAAUGGGGGAAACCCUGAUCCAGCAACGCCGCGUGGGGGAUGAGGGUCUUCGGAUUGUAAACCCCUGUUGAGAGGGACGAAGGCUUUCGGGCAAACAGCUCGGAAGCUUGACGGUACCUCGAGAGGAAGCCCCGGCUAACUCUGUGCCAGCAGCCGCCGUAA
rnacentral:rRNA from 1 species